rnacentral:rRNA from 1 species
GACGAACGCUGGCGGCGUGCUUAACACAUGCAAGUCGAACGGAAAGGCCCCUUCGGGGGUCCUCGAGUGGCGAACAGGUGAGUAACACGUGAGUAACCUGCCCUUGACUUCGGGAUAACUUCAGGAAACUGGGGCUAAUACCGGAUAGGAAUCCUUGCUGCAUGGUAGGGGUUGGAAAGCUUCGGCGGUUUUGGAUGGACUCGCGGCUUAUCAGCUUGUUGGUGGGGUAGUGGCUUACCAAGGCUUUGACGGGUAGCCGGCCUGAGAGGGCGACCGGCCACAUUGGGACUGAGAUACGGCCCAGACUCCUACGGGAGGCAGCAGUGGGGAAUAUUGCACAAUGGGCGGAAGCCUGAUGCAGCAACGCCGCGUGCGGGAUGACGGCCUUCGGGUUGUAAACCGCUUUCAGCAGGGGCGAAGCUUGUGGUGACGGUACCUGCAGAAGAAGCACCGGCUAACUACGUG